GAAGCAGCCACUCAUUCAAAGAGUGCGUAAUAGCUCACUGGUCGAGUGAUCCUGCGCCGAAGAUUUCCGGGGCUAAAACUUACUACCGAAGCUACGGCAUCAGUAAUGAUGGGUAGGGGAGCUUCCCAUACGGGUUGAAGCAUGACCGUAAGGACAUGUGGACAGUAUGGGAGUGAGAAUGUUGGCAUGAGUAGCGAGAUGUGGGUGAGAAUCCCACAGGCCGUAAACCCAAGGUUUCCAGGGGAAGGUUCGUCCGCCCUGGGUUAGUCGGGACCUAAGCUGAGGCCGAAAGGCGUAGGUGAUGGACAACAGGUUGAUAUUCCUGUACUACCGAUAACCGUUUGAGAGAUGGGAUGACACAGUAGGAUAAGCUAAGCACACUGUUGGUUAUGUGUGCCCAAGCAUUGAGGCAGUCAGAGUAGGUAAAUCCGCUUUGACAAUGCUGGGAUGUGAUGGGGAGCGAAAUUUAGUAGCGAAGUAGCUGAUUUCACACUGUCAAGAAAAGUCUCUAUCGAGGUUAAAGGUACCCGUACCGCAAACCGACACAGGUGGGUGAGGAGAGUAUCCUAAGGCCCGCGAGAGAACUGUUGUUAAGGAACUCGGCAAAAUGACCCCGUAACUUAGGGAUAAGGGGUGCCACCAUACGGUGGCCGCAGAGAAUAGGCCCAAGCGACUGUUUACCAAAAACAUAGGUUUCUGCUAAGU
rnacentral:rRNA from 1 species